rnacentral:rRNA from 1 species
GACGGAGGAUGCAAGCGUUAUCCGGAAUGAUUGGGCGUAAAGCGUCCGCAGGUGGCAGUUCAAGUCUGCUGUCAAAGACCGGGGCUUAACUUCGGAAAGGCAGUGGAAACUGAACAGCUAGAGUAUGGUAGGGGCAGAGGGAAUUCCUGGUGUAGGCGGUGAAAUGCGUAGAGAUCAGGAAGAACAUCGGUGGCGAAGGCGGUUCUCUGGGCCUGUACUGACGCUGAGGAGCGAAAGCGUGGGGAGCGAACAGG